UACGUAGGGUGCAGGCGUUAAUCGGAAUUACUGGGCGUAAAGCGUGCGCAGGCGGUCUUUUAAGUCAGAUGUGAAAUCCCCGGGCUUAACCUGGGAACUGCGUUUGAAACUGGAAGGCUUGAGUGUGCCAGAGGGGGGUGGAAUUCCAGGUGUAGCAGUGAAAUGCGUAGAUAUCUGGAGGAACACCGAUGGCGAAGGCAGCCCCCUGGGCUAACACUGACGCUCAUGCACGAAAGCGUGGGGAGCAAACAGG
rnacentral:rRNA from 1 species